UCCCUCUAUACAUUUUUAUAUCUUUUUUUUUUUUUUUGUACCAGGGAUCGAACUCGGGACCUUGUGCUUAUGAGGCAGGCAGAAGAACUCCUGAGCUAAAUCCCCAGCCCACAUUUUUAUAUCUUUAUAUUAUUUCUAUAAAUGUAUGUGCCUGCAAAAUCAUUUAUCCAACUAAAGAGCAAAAGUAACUCCCUCCAGCAGUACCAGUUCUUCAAGCAGAUAUUUGUAACUAAGAUGCACCUUCAGAUCUGGCUCAUCUUUUUCCACAUAAAGGAAAGCAAAGGACUACUGCAAUGCAGAACUGCCUGAAGAUCCCUCAUUCACUGUGGUGCUGUUGGAGAAGAGAUUCCGUUUAGUUAAUUUCUUUCAGAAUCAUGAUGUGGACUAGAAAGUGCACUACAGGAUGGGCGCCACCACUGUACCUACAACAUCCAACAAGGUAGGAUGUUGUUACACAAAUAAAUGAGUUCUGCUCAAGGUUGCUGGUCUCCAGGUUGCUUUCUCCAUAAAGAGCAGAAAGAUUAU
rnacentral:lncRNA from 1 species